rnacentral:rRNA from 1 species
UUUAAAUUUAUUUAUUUAUUUAUUUAUUUUAAUGAUUAUAUAUAUAUAUAUAUAUAAAUAUUAAAAAUAGUUAUAAAAUUUAAAUUUUUAGUAUUAAUUUAAGAAAAAAUAAAUGUUUAUUAUAGUUUAUUAGUAUUGAAAAAGAAAAUUGAAAUAUUUUGAAAAAUUUUAAUUUAUAAAGAAAAAUUUAUUUUUUGUACCUUGUGUAUCAGGGUUUAUUAAAUAAUAUUUAUGAAUAUAAAUUUCUCGAUUUUAAAAGAUUUAAUAUAUUAUAAAAUUUAAAGUAAUAAAUUUAUUUUAAAUAAUAUAUUUGAAAUGAAAUGUUAUUCGUUUUUAAAGGUAUCUAGUUUUUUAAGAAAUAAAUUUAAUUUAUAAAUUUUAUAUUAUUUAUUUAAUUGUAAAAAUAAAUAAUUAUUUAAUUUAAUUAUUUUAUGGGAUAAGCUAUAAAAUAAAAGUUUAAAAAAUAUAGUUAUUAAAUAAAAUAUAGGGUUAAAAUUAUUCAAUAUUAGAGAAAAUGUAAUAAUUUAUUAUUAUGAUAGAAAAAUUUUAUAAAUUUUUAAAUAUUUAUUAAUAUAUAAUUUUUAUUUAAUAAAAGUUAGAAAUAAUGAUAAAAUUAGUAUAAUAUAUUAUAAAAAUAAAUUUAAAUUUUAAAUUUUUUUAAAGAAUUCGGCAAAAUUAUAUAUUCACCUGUUUAACAAAAACAUCUCUUUAUGAAUAAAUAUAAAGUUUAACCUGCCCAAUGAUUAAUUAAAUGGCUGCAGUAUAUUGACUGUACAAAGGUAGCAUAAUCAAUAGUUUUUUAAUUGAAAACUGGAAUGAAUGGUUGGAUGAAAUAUAAACUGUUUCAAAAAAAAUUUAUUAGAAUUUUAUUUUUUAGUAAAAAAGCUAAAAUUUAUUUAAAAGACGAGAAGACCCUAUAAAUCUUUAUAUAAUAUAUUUAUAUAUAAUUAUUUAGAAAAUUAUACAUAUAUAUAUAUAUAUUAUAUUUUAUUGGGGAGAUAGUAAAAUUUAAUAAACUUUUAUAAAUUAGUUUCAUUAAUUUAUGAAUAUUUGAUUAAUUAUUAAUGCAUAAUAAAAUAAGUUACUUUAGGGAUAACAGCGUAAUUAUUUUGGAGAGUUCAUAUUGAUAAAAUAGA